rnacentral:misc_RNA from 1 species
AAGUCGUAACAAGGUAACCGUAGGUGAACCUGCGGUUGGAUCAUUAAAAAAAAUUGAAGCUUCUCCCAUCAGGGUAGAAGGUCAGCGCUCCUUUAACAAGGUGCUUGACUACUCCAAUUUUUGUGAACUUGUAGCCAAAAAAUGUUUUGAUAGAGGUGAAAGAUUUGGGUGUUAUAGCCCAAGUUUUUCCUUCUUGAAAAAUUAUUAUUAACCCUGAAGAAAUAACUUUGUCUUUACUGUUUUUUAUAAAUUAAAAAUUAAUAAACAACUUUUGACAACGGAUCUCUAGGCUCUC